rnacentral:lncRNA from 1 species
GGAGGACAUCUCUCUGCUUGAUCAAAUUUGGAGGAUGAAGCAAUUCUUCUUCAACACUUCCUUGCUGAAUCCGAUGGUGGAAGAGAUCUCCCUGAAAGUCCAAAAUUGGCAACUGCCACCAUGAUCAGGGGAGUUUUCUUCUUUCCCUUCUUCCCCUUUUCCCGCUUUUAUUGCCCUUGUCCUUGAUCUGUUGACUAUUAUGAUUGUGAUCUUAUGCUUGUGACACAUUGAGGACAUUGUGUUGUUUAAGUGUGGUCUAUUAGGGGAGGUUGUUCUUUGUUUAGAUUUCGUUUUCUAGUGAAUUUUGUUGAGUCUUGUGUACAGUUUUGCAUGCUUUUUGUGAAUUCUGGACUGUGAUUAGGUUGCUAGUUUCCCUUCACUGCAUUGAUACUCUGUUUUGUUGGACUCCUUGCUCUUCUUUGCUUGGAAGAUAAUCAUGAUGUUUGAGAGUUGGAUUAACUGUGACCGAUUACCUGUGUGAGAUUUGAGCCAUUUGAUGAUCUAUCUUGUGUGUCAUAUGUCUCUAGAUUGCUUGCACAUUUGCCUUGGCUUGACUCUAUUGAUAAUUCUUUAUUCAUGAGCAUGUUUGAAAAUGAUAAAGGCAUUUUGUUGAUUGAGCCUCUCUAGCCAGAUAGCCUACCAUAUUAUGAUCUCUUUGUUAGCCCCCUUGAGCCUAUACGUCCCCCAUUUCUUUGUUUUGAAGCUCAUACAAUAGCCUAAGUGAAAAACCAUGAUUACCUGAACCUUAGGGAAUUUUGGAGCUUUGGAAUUGUUUUGGGAAUAAGU